GUGCCAGCCGCCGCGGUAAUACGUAGGGGGCUAGCGUUAUCCGGAAUUACUGGGCGUAAAGGGUGCGUAGGUGGUUUCUUAAGUCAGAGGUGAAAGGCUACGGCUCAACCGUAGUAAGCCUUUGAAACUGGGAAACUUGAGUGCAGGAGAGGAGAGUGGAAUUCCUAGUGUAGCGGUGAAAUGCGUAGAUAUUAGGAGGAACACCAGUUGCGAAGGCGGCUCUCUGGACUGUAACUGACACUGAGGCACGAAAGCGUGGGGAGCAAACAGGAUUAGAUACCCUGGUAGUCCACGCCGUAAACGAUGAGUACUAGCUGUCGGAGGUUACCCCCUUCGGUGGCGCAGCUAACGCAUUAAGUACUCCGCCUGGGAAGUACGCUCGCAAGAGUGAAACUCAAAUAAAUUGACGG
rnacentral:rRNA from 1 species